UGAAUAGGCUUGUUAGGGGCACUUAGAAUUUCGUCUGCAACCAGGCAACGCUGGUACAGGGAUGUACCAGCGAGGCACAGAUGAACACGGAUGUGAAUUUGUGCCGGUUGCCAGACGAAGUUCAUAUAUUAGCCGAAAUUCUUAGUGCCCCUUACAGGCGUAUGCG
rfam:Roseburia sp. CAG:45 genomic scaffold, scf58